UCUGAAUGAAGAUGCUGAGGAAAGUCUACAUCACAGGAGACGUCACUGGAUGGAUGAGCAUUUUCCCGCCACCUACUCCCACGUGGCAAGCCGACACCAACUUGAGCGGGAAACUCCACUUCAAACGCAUGUGACGUCACCGGAAGUGAAGACCGCACGGCCGGAACACUCAGCGAGCGGGUAACUGACACGUGCCCGCCGCUCUGCAGGAAGGAGCCGCUUACUAUCGCAUCAGCGACCAACAGGAGGGAUAAGUGGAUGACUUCGGGAGAGCGUGACUAAAAGUUUGUGGUUUCCAGUUUUUUCACCAAGUUCUUGGAAGUUCUAGUUUCCGAUGUUGUUGGAGGAUGAGACUUCAAUGGUUGGAAGAUUUCUCACAGGUUCUUGAGUUCCUGUUGGGUGUCAUUUACCAAAGAAAGAGGAUGGACUUAUGGCUUACUGGACUAUUAUACUAGGGCUGUAAGGGGAAGGGCCAGUGUAACAUUAUAUUUCCUUACCUCGUGAGAUUUCCCUACCCUCGUCACUUCCGGUCGCACCGGACAUGACGUGAGGAGGUGUGCCGCGC